rnacentral:rRNA from 1 species
UACAGAGGGUGCAAGCGUUACUCGGAAUUACUGGGCGUAAAGCGCGCGUAGGUGGUUUGUUAAGUUGGCUGUGAAAGCCCCGGGCUCAACCUGGGAACUGCAUCCAAAACUGGCAAGCUAGAGUACGGUAGAGGGUGGUGGAAUUUCCUGUGUAGCGGUGAAAUGCGUAGAUAUAGGAAGGAACACCAGUGGCGAAGGCGACCACCUGGACUGAUACUGACACUGAGGUGCGAAAGCGUGGGGAGCAAACAGG